rnacentral:lncRNA from 1 species
UGGCCGUAAGUCUUCUUCAAGGCUGGCGCUCAGCGCUGAAAUUGGCGUUGAGCGAUGAGAUCGAUUCAUCUUUAGCACCUUUCUUCAUCCCUUCUUGAGUCGAACUACUUCCUACUUCACUUUCCAUCCUUCAAUUCUAAUUAAAUCCUGUCAAAACAAUGUAAAACCUAGCAUAAUAUCUCUAAAACCACCUUUGACUCUCUUGUAACCUAACUUAAGUGUUUUGCAUGAUUUUAAGCUAAUUCUAAG